GGAGUUGGCCAGACAAUCGCUGNAUUUCAGAGGAAAGUCCGGGCUCCAACGGGAACGAUGCCAGGUAACACCUGGAAGGCGCGAGCCUAUGGAAAGUGCAGCAGAAAAUGUACCGCUUUAAUGAUUUAGAGUAAGGGUGAAAAGGUGCGGUAAGAGCGCACCGCUUGAUUGGUAACAAUCAGGGCAUUGCAAACCCCAUCGGGAGCAAGACCAAAUAGAAGAGUAAUGAUACCCCGUAAUCGCUCUUGGGUAGGUCGCUUGAGGUGUUUGGUGACGAACAUCCCAGAUGAAUGAUUGUUCAACGACAGAACCCGGCUUAUAGGCCAACUCCAAAA
rnacentral:RNase_P_RNA from 2 species